AUGGGGUCUUCAGGCUUGAAUCCUUUGAAACUAAGUGUUGCAUGUGGGGUAUGCCUGUUUUGUGUCUUCUUCACUGCUGUGCUCUGUUGACCGUUGUGCUGUGUUUUUGUGUUCAAUUAAAAUUUUCUUGAGAAUUUAGCUUUGCCAUGCUUUGAUAAAUUGUGCCAAUUAUGCAUUUCUUGAAAUUGGUAUGUCUCUGUAGAUUCUAA
rnacentral:lncRNA from 1 species